rnacentral:rRNA from 1 species
CUACGGGGUGCACCAGUAAGGAAUAUUGGGCAAUGGACGCAAGUCUGACCCAGCCAUGCCGCGUGAAGGAUGAAGGUCCUCUGGAUUGUAAACUUCUUUUAUCUGGGGCGAAAAACACCUUUUCUAAGGUGCUUGACAGUACCAGAGGAAUAAGCACCGGCUAACUCCGUGCCAGCAGCCGCGGUAAUACGGAGGGUGCAAGCGUUAUCCGGAUUCACUGGGUUUAAAGGGUGCGUAGGCGGGCAGGUAAGUCAGUGGUGAAAUCCCCGAGCUUAACUCGGGAACUGCCGUUGAUACUAUCUGUCUUGAAUACCGUGGAGGUGAGCGGAAUAUGUCAUGUAGCGGUGAAAUGCUUAGAUAUGACAUAGAACACCAAUUGCGAAGGCAGCUCGUUACACGGUCAUUGACGCUGAGGCACGAAAGCGUGGGGAUCAAACAGGAUUAGAUACCCCCGUAGUC